UUGGUCAUCACAUAUACUAAACUUGGAAUGAUACAGAGAAGAUUAGCAUGGCCCCUGCACAAGAAAGUAUACCAAAAUAAACAUAAAAAUUAAUAAACUUUU